rnacentral:rRNA from 1 species
UACGUAGGUGACGAGCGUUGUUCGGAUUUAUUGGGCGUAAAGGGUUCGUAGGAGGUUUAUUAAGAUUGGUGUGAAAUCCCAAGGCUCAACCUUGGAACUGCAUUGAUUACUGAUGAACUAGAGUAUCGUAGAGGAAAGCGGAAUUCCAGGUGUAGCGGUGGAAUGCGUAGAUAUCUGGAAGAACACCGACAGCGAAGGCAGCUUUCUGGGCGAUAACUGACUCUGAGGAACGAAAGCAUGGGGAGCAAACAGGAUUAGAUACCCUGGUAGUCCAUGCCGUAAACGUUGUGUGCUUGGUCUGAGCGGAUUCAACCCCGUUCGGAUCGGAGUUAACAUGUUAAGCACACCGCCUGGGGACUACGGUCGCAAGACUA